rnacentral:rRNA from 1 species
CCAGACUCCUACGGGAGGCAGCAGUGGGGAAUAUUGCACAAUGGGCGCAAGCCUGAUGCAGCCAUGCCGCGUGUAUGAAGAAGGCCUUCGGGUUGUAAAGUACUUUCAGUCGGGAGGAAGGUGGUAAGGUUAAUAACCUUAUCAAUUGACGUUACCGACAGAAGAAGCACCGGCUAACUCCGUGCCAGCAGCCGCGGUAAUACGGAGGGUGCAAGCGUUAAUCGGAAUUACUGGGCGUAAAGCGCACGCAGGCGGUCUGUCAAGUCGGAUGUGAAAUCCCCGGGCUCAACCUGGGAACUGCAUUCGAAACUGGCAGGCUGGAGUCUUGUAGAGGGGGGUAGAAUUCCAGGUGUAGCGGUGAAAUGCGUAGAGAUCUGGAGGAAUACCGGUGGCGAAGGCGGCCCCCUGGACAAAGACUGACGCUCAGGUGCGAAAGCGUGGGGAGCAAACAGUAUUAGAUACCCCAGUAAAC